rnacentral:rRNA from 1 species
AGCAGUAGGGAAUCUUCCACAAUGGGCGAAAGCCUGAUGGAGCAACGCCGCGUGAGUGAAGAAGGAUUUCGGUUCGUAAAACUCUGUUGUAAGGGAAGAACAAGUACAGUAGUAACUGGCUGUACCUUGACGGUACCUUAUUAGAAAGCCACGGCUAACUACGUGCCAGCAGCCGCGGUAAUACGUAGGUGGCAAGCGUUGUCCGGAAUUAUUGGGCGUAAAGCGCGCGCAGGUGGUUUCUUAAGUCUGAUGUGAAAGCCCACGGCUCAACCGUGGAGGGUCAUUGGAAACUGGGAGACUUGAGUGCAGAAGAGGAUAGUGGAAUUCCAAGUGUAGCGGUGAAAUGCGUAGAGAUUUGGAGGAACACCAGUGGCGAAGGCGA